UUAGCUGAAACCAAAAAGAGGUAUAUUACUGUUAAUAAUAAAACUGAAUAUUUAUAUUCCAGUUAAG
rnacentral:tRNA from 1 species